AUAAUUAAUUUUUUAGAAUGAAUAAUUAAUUAUCCUUCUUUAGAUCAUAGAUUUAAAGAAUUGGGUUUAAUUUUUAAAAAAAUUAUUUAAUUUAAUAUGGCAGACAAUUGCAAUAAAUUUAAGAUUUAUUUAUAAAGAUUAAUCUUUUAUUAAAA
rnacentral:tRNA from 1 species